rnacentral:rRNA from 1 species
UACUAUUAUUUACAAUGAACCCUUUAUUUUUACUGAAUAUUUCUAUAAAGUUAUAGAACCUUUUAUGUUGAAACUAGUAACAAGAAGUUAAACUUCUCCUCAAUAUAAGUAUAAGUCGACUAGGAUAAACCAUCGACAAUUAACGCUUAAAUUAAAUGUAUUAACUCCACAAGAAAAACUUACAUUACCCCACGUUAAUCUUACACCAGAACAUUUAAGGAAAGAUUUAAAAAAAAGGAAGGAACUCGGCAAACAUUAACCCCGCCUGUUUACCAAAAACAUCGCCUUCUGAUAUAUUAUAGAAGGUCCAGCCUGCCCAGUGAAUUAAUUUAACGGCCGCGGUAUCCUAACCGUGCGAAGGUAGCGUAAUCACUUGUUCUUUAAAUGAGGACUAGUAUGAAUGGCACCACGAAGGUUAUACUGUCUCCCUUUUUUGAUCAGUUAAACUAAUCUUCACGUGAAGAAGCGUGAAUAAACAUAUAAGACGAGAAGACCCUAUGGAGCUUAAAAUUACACAACAAUUGUUAAAAAAAUCCUAAAUUUUAUAAAUAAUUUUUUACUAAACACCAUGAUUGCUAAUUUUUGGUUGGGGUGACCGCGGAGUAAAAAUUAACCUCCACAAUGAAAGAAAUCAAUAUUCUAAACUAAGAGCUACAACUCAAAGUAUUAAUAUUUUAACAUUCUUUGAUCCAAUAUUUGAUCAACGAACAAAGUUACCCUAGGGAUAACAGCGCAAUCUACUUUGAGAGCUCCUAUCGACAAGUAGGUUUACGACCUCGAUGUUGGAUCAGGGUAUCCUAGUGGUGCAGCCGCUACU